AACGAACGCUGGCGGCAUGCCUAACACAUGCAAGUCGAACGAUCCCUUCGGGGAUAGUGGCGCACGGGUGCGUAACGCGUGGGAACCUGCCCUUAGGUUCGGAAUAACUCAGAGAAAUUUGAGCUAAUACCGGAUAAUGUCUUCGGACCAAAGAUUUAUCGCCUUUGGAUGGGCCCGCGUUGGAUUAGCUAGUUGGUGGGGUAAAGGCCUACCAAGGCGACGAUCCAUAGCUGGUCUGAGAGGAUGAUCAGCCACACUGGGACUGAGACACGGCCCAGACUCCUACGGGAGGCAGCAGUGGGGAAUAUUGGACAAUGGGCGAAAGCCUGAUCCAGCAAUGCCGCGUGAGUGAUGAAGGCCUUAGGGUUGUAAAGCUCUUUUACCCGGGAUGAUAAUGACAGUACCGGGAGAAUAAGCCCCGGCUAACUACGUG
rnacentral:rRNA from 1 species